rnacentral:rRNA from 1 species
UACGUAGGGUGCAAGCGUUAAUCGGAAUUACUGGGCGUAAAGCGUGCGCAGGCGGCUAUGCAAGACAGAUGUGAAAUCCCCGGGCUCAACCUGGGAACUGCAUUUGUGACUGCAUAGCGUAGAGUACGGGUAGAGGGGGAUGGAAUUCCGCGUGUAGCAGUGAAAUGCGUAGAUAUGCGGAGGAACACCGAUGGCGAAGGCAAUCCCC